rnacentral:rRNA from 1 species
UACGGAGGAUGCGAGCGUUAUCCGGAUUUUUUGGGUUUAAAGGGUGCGUAGGCGGGAUGCCAAGUCAGCGGUAAAAAUGCGGUGCUCAACGCCGUCGAGCCGUUGAAACUGGCGUUCUUGAGUGGGCGAGAAGUAUGCGGAAUGCGUGGUGUAGCGGUGAAAUGCAUAGAUAUCACGCAGAACUCCGAUUGCGAAGGCAGCAUACCGGCGCCCUACUGACGCUGAGGCACGAAAGCGUGGGUAUCGAACAGG